UACAGAGGGUGCAAGCGUUGUUCGGAAUUAUUGGGCGUAAAGCGCGUGUAGGCGGCCAGGCAAGUUGGGUGUGAAAGCCCUCGGCUUAACCGAGGAAGUGCGCCCAAAACUACUUGGCUUGAGUACCGGAGAGGGUGGCGGAAUUCCCGGUGUAGAGGUGAAAUUCGUAGAUAUCAAGCAGAACACCUGCGGCGAAGGCGGCCUUCUGGACGAUGACUGACGCUGAGACGCGAAAGCGUGGGGAGCAAACAGG
rnacentral:rRNA from 1 species